GGGCCCGUAGCUCAGCUUGGGAGAGCACUACAAUGGCAUUGUAGGGGUCGUGGGUUCGAGUCCCAUCGGGUCCA
rnacentral:tRNA from 1 species